rnacentral:rRNA from 2 species
UGCAGUCGAACGCGUUGGCCCAAUUGAUUGAUGGUGCUUGCACCUGAUUGAUUUUGGUCGCCAACGAGUGGCGGACGGGUGAGUAACACGUAGGUAACCUGCCCAGAAGCGGGGGACAACAUUUGGAAACAGAUGCUAAUACCGCAUAACAGCGUUGUUCGCAUGAACAACGCUUAAAAGAUGGCUUCUCGCUAUCACUUCUGGAUGGACCUGCGGUGCAUUAGCUUGUUGGUGGGGUAACGGCCUACCAAGGCGAUGAUGCAUAGCCGAGUUGAGAGACUGAUCGGCCACAAUGGGACUGAGACACGGCCCAUACUCCUACGGGAGGCAGCAGUAGGGAAUCUUCCACAAUGGGCGCAAGCCUGAUGGAGCAACACCGCGUGAGUGAAGAAGGGUUUCGGCUCGUAAAGCUCUGUUGUUAAAGAAGAACACGUAUGAGAGUAACUGUUCAUACGUUGACGGUAUUUAACCAGAAAGUCACGGCUAACUACGUGCCAGCAGCCGCGGUAAUACGUAUGUGGCAAGCGUUAUCCGGAUUUAUUGGGCGUAAAGAGAGUGCAGGCGGUUUUCUAAGUCUGAUGUGAAAGCCUUCGGCUUAACCGGAGAAGUGCAUCGGAAACUGGAUAACUUGAGUGCAGA